GCGUGUGUGAUGAAGGCCUUAGGGUUGUAAAGCACUUUCAGAUGGGAAGAUAAUGACGGUACCAUCAGAAGAAGCUCCGGCUAACUCCGUGCCAGCAGCCGCGGUAAUACGGAGGGAGCUAGCGUUGUUCGGAAUUACUGGGCGUAAAGCGCUCGUAGGCGGUUAUACAAGUUGGGGGUGAAAGCCCGGGGCUUAACCUCGGAACUGCCCUCAAAACUGUAUGACUAGAGUCCUGGAGAGGUAAGUGGAAUACCGAGUGUAGAGGUGGAAUUCGU
rnacentral:rRNA from 1 species